rnacentral:rRNA from 1 species
UACGAAGGGGGCUAGCGUUGCUCGGAAUCACUGGGCGUAAAGCGCACGUAGGCGGAUUGUUAAGUCAGGGGUGAAAUCCUGGAGCUCAACUCCAGAACUGCCUUUGAUACUGGCGAUCUCGAGUCCGGGAGAGGUGAGUGGAACUGCGAGUGUAGAGGUGAAAUUCGUAGAUAUUCGCAAGAACACCAGUGGCGAAGGCGGCCUCACUGGCCCGGUACUGACGCUGAGGUGCGAAAGCG